rnacentral:rRNA from 1 species
UGCAGUCGAGCGAAUGGAUUAAGAGCUUGCUCUUAUGAAGUUAGCGGCGGACGGGUGAGUAACACGUGGGUAACCUGCCCAUAAGACUGGGAUAACUCCGGGAAACCGGGGCUAAUACCGGAUAACAUUUUGAACUGCAUGGUUCGAAAUUGAAAGGCGGCUUCGGCUGUCACUUAUGGAUGGACCCGCGUCGCAUUAGCUAGUUGGUGAGGUAACGGCUCACCAAGGCAACGAUGCGUAGCCGACCUGAGAGGGUGAUCGGCCACACUGGGACUGAGACACGGCCCAGACUCCUACGGGAGGCAGCAGUAGGGAAUCUUCCGCAAUGGACGAAAGUCUGACGGAGCAACGCCGCGUGAGUGAUGAAGGCUUUCGGGUCGUAAAACUCUGUUGUUAGGGAAGAACAAGUGCUAGUUGAAUAAGCUGGCACCUUGACGGUACCUAACCAGAAAGCCACGGCUAACUACGUGCCAGCAGCCGCGGUAAUACGUAGGUGGCAAGCGUUAUCCGGAAUUAUUGGGCGUAAAGCGCGCGCAGGUGGUUUCUUAAGUCUGAUGUGAAAGCCCACGGCUCAACCGUGGAGGGUCAUUGGAAACUGGGAGACUUGAGUGCAGAAGAGGAAAGUGGAAUUCCAUGUGUAGCGGUGAAAUGCGUAGAGAUAUGGAGGAACACCAGUGGCGAAGGCGACUUUCUGGUCUGUAA